rnacentral:rRNA from 1 species
AACGAACGCUGGCGGCAGGCCUAACACAUGCAAGUCGAGCGAAGCCUUCGGGCUUAGCGGCGGACGGGUGAGUAACGCGUGGGAACGUGCCCUUUGGUACGGAAUAGCCCCGGGAAACUGGGAGUAAUCCUGUAUGUGGUCGAGAGACGAAAGAUUUAUCGCCAAAGGAUCGGCCCGCGUUGGAUUAGGUAGUUGGUGGGGUAAUGGCCUACCAAGCCGACGAGCCAUAGCUGGUUUGAGAGGAUGAUCAGCCACACUGGGACUGAGACACGGCCCAGACUCCUACGGGAGGCAGCAGUGGGGAAUCUUAGACAGUGGGGGAAACCCUGAUCUAGCCAUGCCGCGUGAUCGAUGAAGGCCUUAGGGUUGUAAAGAUCUUUCAGUGGGGAAGAUAAUGACUGUACCCACAGAAGAAGCCCCGGCUAACUCCGUGCCAGCCGCCGCCGUAAAAC